GGCCACCAUAAGUGAGACAUGGAUUGCUCCCUAAUAUUGGAUAUAAAUUUCCUGAUAAAUGAGGAUCAGAAUGGAGUUGGUGCGAACACGUGGUGAACUAAGAGAAGAAGAUGGAAUUGGUGAGGAGAUAAAGCAAUUGUGGUACUUUUUAUCACCCUGAGGCGCAGCAAAAAAGAGCCCUUGAUCAUUUCAGAAGAGGAUGUACGGGAGAACGUGGUCACCUAUGAUGAUGAAGGAGGUGGAGAGGAAGACACGGAGGCCUUUGACAUCACAGCCUUGAGGAAUCCUUCUGCUGCUGAGGAGCUCAAGUACCGGAGAGAUAUCAGACCUGAAGUGAAGCUCACUCCCAGACACCAGACAUCGUCCACCCUGGAAAGUAUAGAUGUUCAGGAAUUUAUUAAGCAAAGAGUGGCAGAAGCAGACCUAGACCCUAGCGUUCCCCCUUAUGACUCUCUUCAGACUUAUGCCUAUGAGGGUCAGAGAUCAGAAGCUGGGUCUAUCAGCUCGCUGGAUUCAGCAACGACACAAUCAGACCAGGAUUAUCACUACCUUGGAGACUGGGGACCCGAGUUUAAAAAGUUAGCUGAACUCUAUGGAGAAAUAGAAUCUGAAAGAACAACUUAGGGGGUCAGUUCUUGCAACCUUGUGGAAUUUGCUUCCUGAGUAAGUGGAUAUACAACCUCAGAAAUGACAAGGAAGAAGUGUGGAAACAGUACUUGGAACUGAGCAAGCUGGACACAGCUCCUGUAGAAACAAGUGCCCUUUUCAUGAUCGAAACUGGGUUAUUUAAUUGGAAGAAAGUAAAAAAAAAAAAAAAAGACAAUACAAAGAAAAAGUUAUUGUUCCUUGUGUAUAUUUUCAAUUGCUCAAUAAAGUCUGUGGUACUGUUUAUUAAGAA
rnacentral:sRNA from 1 species